rnacentral:rRNA from 1 species
GAACGCUGGCGGCAUGCCUUACACAUGCAAGUCGAACGGCAGCACGGGAGCAAUCCUGGUGGCGAGUGGCGAACGGGUGAGUAAUAUAUCGGAACGUGCCCAGUCGUGGGGGAUAACUACUCGAAAGAGUGGCUAAUACCGCAUACGAUCUCUGGAUGAAAGCGGGGACCUUCGGGCCUCGCGCGAUUGGAGCGGCCGAUAUCAGAUUAGGUAGUUGGUAGGGUAAAAGCCUACCAAGCCUGCGAUCUGUAGCUGGUCUGAGAGGACGACCAGCCACACUGGAACUGAGACACGGUCCAGACUCCUACGGGAGGCAGCAGUGGGGAAUUUUGGACAAUGGGCGAAAGCCUGAUCCAGCAAUGCCGCGUGCAGGACGAAGGCCUUCGGGUUGUAAACUGCUUUUGUACGGAACGAAAAGGUAGCUCCUAAUACGAGCUGCUGAUGACGGUACCGUAAGAAUAAGCACCGGCUAACUACGUG